rnacentral:rRNA from 1 species
GAUGAACGCUGGCGGCGUGCCCAAUACAUGCAAGUCGAGCGAACGGACGAGAAGCUUGCUUUUCUGAUGUUAGCGGCGGACGGGUGAGUAACACGUGGAUAACCUACCUAUAAGACUGGGAUAACUUCGGGAAACCGGAGCUAAUACCGGAUAAUAUUUUGAACCGCAUGGUUCAAAAGUGAAAGACGGUCUUGCUGUCACUUAUAGAUGGAUCCGCGCUGCAUUAGCUAGUUGGUAAGGUAACGGCUUACCAAGGCAACGAUGCAUAGCCGACCUGAGAGGGUGAUCGGCCACACUGGAACUGAGACACGGUCCAGACUCCUACGGGAGGCAGCAGUAGGGAAUCUUCCGCAAAGGGCGAAAGCCUGACGGAGCAACGCCGCGUGAGUGAUGAAGGUCUUCGGAUCGUAAAACUCUGUUAUUAGGGAAGAACAUAUGUGUAAGUAACUGUGCACAUCUUGACGCUACCUAAUCAGAAAGCCACGGCUAACUACGUG